CACAUACUCCCUCCGUUCGGAAUUACUUGUCGUAGAAAUGGAUGUAUCUAGACAUAUUUUUAGUUCUAGAUACAUCCAUUUCUAUCCAUUUCCGCGACAAGUAAUUCGUGACGGAGGUAGUAUUUG
rnacentral:pre_miRNA from 1 species